AUGGCCGUGCCCAUUACCGAAAACGAGCUCGCCGCCGUGACCACCGUAGUCCGAGCUCGCGUCCGAGCUCGUGGUGGAGCUCAUGGAGCUCGUAGGCGCCUAACGCCGCUCCCCGCGUCGCUUGUUAUACCCCAUUUCGCCGUAGCCGCCAGCACCCGAAUUCCGGCGUCCGCCACGGUCGACACCGCCGCCGAUUUAGGUCACCUCCGGCGAAACCUUUGCCACCCCACGACGCGCGCGAGCGCCAGCUUCCGAACGCAAGUGGAAUCGUGCGAUUUGGUGUGCUGUGGCGAAAAUUCGAGCCUCUCCGGCGAGCCAGCCGCCGCGGAGCGCUCGCCGGCGCGUUCCGGCGACCUCUCCGACGUGGCAAGUGGUGGCGUCCACCCGUAG
rnacentral:rRNA from 1 species